rnacentral:rRNA from 1 species
AAUGAACGUUGGCGGCGUGGAUUAGGCAUGCAAGUCGAGCGAGAAUCGUAGCAAUACGAGGGCAGCGGCGAAAGGGAGAGGAAUACGUAGAAAUCUACCCCUGGGACCGGGAUAGCGUCGGGAAACUGGCAGUAAUACCGGAUAACGUCUUAGGACCAAAGGUGUGAUUCCACCUGGGGAUGAGUCUACGCCCUAUUAGCUAGUUGGUGGGGUAAUGGCCUACCAAGGCGAUGAUGGGUAGCGGGUGUGAGAGCAUGAUCCGCCUCACUGGGACUGAGAACUGCCCAGACACCUACGGGUGGCUGCAGUCGAGAAUCUUUGUCAAUGGACGAAAGUCUGAACAAGCGACGCCGCGUGCGGGAUGAAGGCCUCGGUUGUAAACCGCUGUCGUAGGGACGAAAUAGUACGGGGUACGUCCCGUCGUACUUUGUAGUGAUCCUAGGUAGGAAGGAGGAGGCGUAAGCUCGU